rnacentral:tRNA from 1 species
UAGCUCAGGUGGUGAAGCGUCUGCCUGCAAUGCAGGAGACCCAGGUUCGAUACCUGG